rnacentral:rRNA from 1 species
AGAGUUUGAUCAUGGCUCAGAUUGAACGCUGGCGGCAUGCUUUACACAUGCAAGUCGAACGGCAGCGCGGGCUUCGGCCUGGCGGCGAGUGGCGAACGGGUGAGUAAUAUAUCGGAACGUACCCAGAAGUGGGGGAUAACGUAGCGAAAGUUACGCUAAUACCGCAUACGAUCUACGGAUGAAAGUAGGGGACCGCAAGGCCUUAUGCUUUUGGAGCGGCCGAUAUCUGAUUAGCUAGUUGGUGAGGUAAUGGCUCACCAAGGCGACGAUCAGUAGCUGGUCUGAGAGGACGACCAGCCACACUGGAACUGAGACACGGUCCAGACUCCUACGGGAGGCAGCAGUGGGGAAUUUUGGACAAUGGGGGCAACCCUGAUCCAGCAAUGUCGCGUGAGUGAAGAAGGCCUUCGGGUUGUAAAGCUCUUUUGUCAGGGAAGAAACGGCUGUGGCUAAUAUCCACGGCUAAUGACGGUACCUGAAGAAUAAGCACCGGCUAACUACGUGCCAGCAGCCGCGGUAAUACGUAGGGUGCAAGCGUUAAUCGGAAUUACUGGGCGUAAAGCGUGCGCAGGCGGUUUUGUAAGUCUGACGUGAAAUCCCCGGGCUUAACCUGGGAAUUGCGUUGGAGACUGCAAGGCUAGAAUCUGGCAGAGGGGGGUAGAAUUCCACGUGUAGCAGUGAAAUGCGUAGAGAUGUGGAGGAACACCGAUGGCGAAGGCAGCCCCCUGGGUCAAGAUUGACGCUCAUGCACGAAAGCGUGGGGAGCAAACAGGAUUAGAUACCCUGGUAGUCCACGCCCUAAACGAUGUCUACUAGUUGUCGGGUCUUAAUUGACUUGGUAACGCAGCUAACGCGUGAAGUAGACCGCCUGGGAGUACGGUCGCAAGAUUAAAACUCAAAGGAAUUGACGGGGGACCCGCACA